rnacentral:lncRNA from 1 species
UCGUCGUCGUCUCCACGGCCUUAGGCGGAGGAGCGGGCGAGGCGGGAUGCGAUGGCGGAGUGGUACAUGGCGUCGUGGAAGGACUCCGUCUGCGCCAUCCGCGCGCGCAGCUCCCGGGCCUUCUCCUCCGUCAGGCCCCCCACGAACGCCCUCCCCGGGGUGGCCGCCGACGCCGCCUCCUUCGCCGCGGGGGCCGGAGCCUCGAUGUAGUCGGCCUUCCCGGACCACCCCAGCAGGGGCGCCCACCACUUGCCGCUGCCCUCCCCGCCACCCGCCGCGGCGCGGGCCACCCCGGCGCCCGCGCUGGCGGCGCGCGGCCGGGCGGAGGAUGCCCCCGCCGGGCGGGCGGGGAAGGAGACGGAGGCGGCGGUUGCGCACGGUGCCAUCGCCAUUUCGGAUCGGUCGGUCGGGCUGUUGCUUGCUUUGGAAUUUGGUGGGUGGGUGCGAGGUGAGGAUGCUGCUGAAGCCUGGGAAAGAAAGAUGAAUGCUGAUGGUGAUGGAGGUGAAGGCCGUAGGGAUGGCGGGGCGUUUAUAGCGGCCGGAUAGGGGAGGGAUGGGAUGGGAUGGGCGAGUGGAUAAGACCGCCGCGUGGAUACGUGCGCGGCAUCCUGGUACGGUGUUACAGGCUGUCCAGCAACGGUGGCCCGUCAUGUCACUGACGCGUGGGUCAGGUUGCGGGCUCCGGCUACGGCGUUGGUGUCUUUUUUUUUUUUCUUUUCGCCGUGACGGUCAUGCCGUUGGGGGCGGUUAACGUUGUUGCGAAGGUAGGGCGAACACGCAAUGUCGUCUUAAUUUAGGUUUUUCUAGAAGAGGAUGCUCACGUGGAAAGAGCAACUCCAACAAUAGGUCGAUUUAAGCUCUGAAGAUUAAAUGGAGAUUCUUUCUAUUUUUUAAGAGCCACAAAAAUACUUCCAAAUCAAGCAAUAACCCUCAUAAAUAGAGGGCUCCCUAGUGACCCCUCAGGAAUGAAACGUGGAGGGGAAUUUGAAAGCCUCACUAAAAUAGGGAGAUAAGUAGAGAGCUUGUUGGAGUGCAUUUUUUUUUUACUUGGCCUUCUAAAACUUGGGAUAGGGGGUUGUUUAGAGGAUGUGCUGGAAUUGCUCUAACAAUUUUUGGCAUCAUGAUGAUCUCUAUCUCAUGUCCGAUUCUGAACGGGAUAAAGAACGAACUAUUUGUUUUGACUUUUCUAGAUACAUACCUUUUGAUAUGCAUCUAAAUAUAUAUUAUGUCUAUAUAUAUAGCAAAAGUUAUAUACUAGAAAAGCUAAAAUAGUAAUUUGUGACGGAGGGAGUAAUUUCUAAGAAUUUGUGUAUGAAAUGGAAAAUUUCAAUUCCAUCCAUAUCAUAAUGAUAACAAUUUUUUCAAGAUGCCUAAAAAAUGACCAUUGUCAAGUCUUACUGUUGUUAAAGAAUAAAUGCCAGCCACCUAUAUUGUACUCCAUAUUCGCAUAUUCAACUCAAGUAGAUGCCUCUGUCUACGGAGUACAUUUGCAUUUUCAACUCAAGUAGAUGCUUCUAUCUACAUCGUGUGAUUACCGCUUCUCGUUUGUUGACCUAAUUAGGUUUGGCAUCUUUGGUAGAACUUCGGCUCCUUCGAAAAAGACUCCGAUUGCGCUUCCUCUGAUGAAGUUGCUUCUCUAGUAGAGUUGGAACCGUUUUGACGUUUUGAAAAAUGUUUGGCAAAACGGCUUCUCCUAUUUUUCAUGAAUAAUGUCCAUUAUACCCCUCGCUAUCUAACUUCAUUGUAGCGAUUUCAUCUAAAAUAAAAAUGAUUAAUUAGUAUGAUUAUAGAUUAACAAUAAUCUACUUUUUCCUUUUCAUUCCCAUUUUCUUUUUAUUAUUUUAUUCUCUCUACCCUUGUAAUUUUUUAUAUUUUUUCUCACCUUUUAUUUUCUAUCUUCUCUCUCAAUCCAUCAUCCUUAUCCGAUGCUCGCUUCCUCCACCGCACAAGAAUGCUCCUCGGCCCUCGCCCUUCUCUACCUUGUUGGCCGCUGCCGGCCUGCCGCUUGCGGGCUGCCCCAUGCGCGUGGCUCUGGCACCACCACAUUGUUCUGCUGCUGCUCCACCGCCCAUCUGCAUAGCAGCUGGUGCUCCACCCCUGCAGCUCCUUCACGUUGUGUCCCUGCUGCUGCUCCACCGCCGUUGGCCGUUGCUCUGCUCUGUAGGCGCCGUGCCGGCUGCUCCAGCUCAGGGGCACCGCUUUAGCCCCUGCACGAUGCUCCCCCGAAGCCGCAUGGCCCCAACGGCGACGCAACACUUCCCCAACGGCCAAUGACCCGACGCCAUGCGCUUUGCUGCCGUUUGUGGCAUUUUUAGGUGAAAUAAUCACCAACUCAAAAGGGUAUUCUGGUACGUGCUGGUGUGGGGACGGAGAGGAGCCGGAGGAGCCAGUAUUUUUGCUCUGCCCCCUAAUUCAAAACCGGUUCCAGCUCCAUCGGUGCUUCAACAGAGGAGCUGCUACUUUUUUUUCCAGGGCUCUAGCAGAAGCCGCGGCGGAGGUGGAGCCCCACCAAAUUGGCCCUUAAUACUCUCCACUUGUUUGUCCUUUCUUUUUUUGGAAGAGUUUGUUUGUCCUUAUUAACUUUCAUGGUUGGAAAGUUGGAACUAGGGUCACGCAAGCUGCGAGAACCGUUCUUUUGCCCAAAGUGAAAGGGUGACCAAGGCUUAUCAAAGGGGUAACUCGUCCAGUAGAGGUACAUGGUGUACAUAUGUACACCUAAUAAUUUUAAGAGAAAAAAUUUAUCCAGUACAUAUAGGUAUAUCCUGAUAUGUAAAAGUGGGUCAAAACGUGUCUGUCUGAGCCGAAACAAGAAAAACAGGCUUGUGGGCCGGCUGUUUGCUCGGCUUGUUGCCUCACGACGUGAAUCCCCUUCUCUGUGAUCCCCGACGUCGUGAAUCGUGAUCCCCGCGCCUCCUCUCCUUUCUCAACUUCUCAUCCGUUUUCUGGUUCGCUGCCGCUAGCGCUAGGGUUAGCUUCCUUCCUUGGCCAUGGCCGUCCCCAUCCAUCGGCGCCUGCUAUAUGGAAGAGGAGCGCAAGAGCGGAGGGCUGAUCUGACAUGGGGUUUGUGCGCCAUGCCUUCUGCACAGCCGGCCAUAGCAAGGGCGGAACAAGUCACCGCGUGACAGCAACGGCCAUGACAAGUGCGGAAGGGCCGGAAGCAUCGCCGGCCCCGGCAAGCACAAACACAGAGGAGGCAGAGCCCACGUCGAGGGUAUUUUGCUUUGUUUGCUAUCAGGGAUACAAAUUCUAAGGGUGGAAAUAGUUUUCGGCUUUGAUUUUUGUGAAGAACAAGCUAAGAAAUAACACGAGGGGCGCUUCAAUAUUUAAAUGAUUGUUUGAUUACAUUUAUCGAGAAGGAACUUUCCUACAUGUUGUUGAUGAAGACAUCGUGGCCGUGUUUAGUUGGGGAAUUUGGGAGGUGCCAAAUUACUGUUACAGCACUGUAGCACACUGUAGCGUUUCGUUUGUAUUUGUGAAUUAUUGUCCAAAUAUUGACUAAUUAGGCUUAAAAGAUUCGUCUCGCAAAGUACAACAAAACUGUGCAAUUAGUUUUUAAUUUCAUCUACAUUUAGUACUCCAUGCAUGUACCGCAAGUUUGAUGUGAUAGGGAAUCUUCUUUUUGCAUAGUGUCAAAGUUGGGAGUUGGGAGUAACUAAACAUGGCCCGUCUCCCGUUUCCAAAAGCUGCCUCAUCGAGUUAAUUUGUAAUUUUUUAUAAGUUGAUGGUUUCAAAAUAUUGUAUGAAUACUAGAUUAAGGAACUAUUUAUACUAAUACCAUGUAGCCUUCAACCUUUAUUUUCAUGAACCUUUAUCUUUUAUAUGCGAUGAUUGUUUGGUUCGUCAGUAUGUAUACACACUCAAUCUUGAAUUCCUGCGCCUGCCACUGAACUUGCACAUGCGGUCCUCUUGGAAGAAAGAAUUCAGCAGUGCGAUUGUUUGGACAUCCCAGUAAGCAGGCACUAGUGGUGUGACUUUCAAGAGGUUUCGCGGCACGGAUUCGUGGUAGCAAAUGGGAGCAAGGAUGCGUAGGGAGCAAAUAAUUUAUUACAUCCUGAAGUCAACUAAAAUAAAAAUGACGUGUAGAGAAGUAAUGGAUAGUUAAACUCGGUUUUUUGUCGUUGAAAACUCUCGAGAAAUUAUUCACCCGCAUUACUUAUUUCAUUUCACAAAUUUCCCUUCCUUCAAGAAGGUAGCCCCUGGCGGAUGUUUGAAUUUGUUCGGCUGCGCUGCAGGUGUUUUGCGUGCGCGUAUGCUCGGUCCGUGUGUUUCUCUAGAAAAGAUUGGCAUGCGACAUGGGACUCGGGCCGAUGUGGAACGGAAAGCCGAGAGCCACGAGUUGGUCAUCAAGAGAGAAUGACCCGGAUGGCCGCAGAUCAGGUGAGCAUUGAGAAUCGUCGUCUCGGAUCCUCGUCAGGUGGUCACGGUCCGUGAGGUCUGUGGACCACAGUGUCUGGUAGGUACUCCGUGCGGCGGGGCCUGGCUGCUUCGGCGCGCCUGCCAAGUGCCGGUCCGCGCCGCGACACGCUGACUCACCGUCACGGGCACCGACCGCGUCCCCGGCUCCCGCUCCGAGCCGAGUCAGCGCCACGCUGCUGCUGACACUGAUGUCAAAACGUACGGGAGGGAGGGAGGGAGGAGGCGGCUCGAUGGCAACUCCGGCGGUGGGAGCCUCAUCCACGGCCUGUGUGGAUAGACGAUGCAAAAGCAGGGGAUCAUCAUCACACAUCUAAGCACCAAUCGGAUCAAAACAACAAAGUUUGUGAUGAUGUAAACCACAUUAAGCCGAGAUCACAGCACCAUCUGUACAUCCACGGUAAAAUGCGGAAUCAGAGAUGGACCAGAACGGGGUCGCGCGCUAAAACCGGAACCCCGUCCCGUUCCUCCUCGACAACGACUACCACUACCAGUCUACUACUGCUAUGUACACGCGGCGCCGGCGAGUUCCUCGUCCCCGCGGCGGCGGCCUACUGGCCCUAGGCGGAGCGCGCGAGGCGGGACGCGAUGGCGGAGUGGUACAUGGCGUCGUGGAACGACUCCGUCUGCGCCAUCCGCGCCCGCAGCUCGCGGGCCUUCUCCUCCGUCAGGCCCCCCACGAACUGCCUCCGGGCCGCCGCCGCGCCGUCCUGCGCCACCGCCACCACCGGCGCCGGGGCCUCCAGGUAGUCGGCCUUCCCCGACCACCCCACCAGCGGCGCCCACCACUUGCCGCCGCCCUCC